rnacentral:rRNA from 1 species
AUAUGAGCUGAUUUUGCAUAUCAAUAAGCGGAGGAAAAGAAACCAACAGGGAUUGCCUCAGUAACGGCGAGUGAAGCGGCAAAAGCUCAAAUUUGAAAUCCCCCCGGGGAGUUGUAAUUUGAAGAUUGCGUCUUGGAGGCGACCGUGUCUAUGUUCCUUGGAACAGGACGUCACAGAGGGUGAGAAUCCCGUGCGGCACGGCCCCCGGCUCCUUAUAAGGCGCUCUCGACGAGUCGAGUUGUUUGGGAAUGCAGCUCAAAGUGGGUGGUAAAUUCCAUCUAAAGCUAAAUACAGGCGAGAGACCGAUAGCGAACAAGUACAGUGAUGGAAAGAUGAAAAGCACUUUGAAAAGAGAGUGAAACAGCACGUGAAAUUGUUGAAAGGGAAGGGCAUGCCGUCAGAUUGUCAGUGUGGGUAAGAAGCGGGGUACAAAGACUGUGGAACGUGGCCCUCGGGUGUUAUAGCCGCAGUUCAUGCCCCGUCUCUUUCCGAGGCCUGCUUUGAGGACACCGACGUAAUGACGGUACGCCGCCCGUCUUGAACCACGGACCAAAACGAAUAUUUG